CCUACGGGAGGCAGCAGUGAGGAAUAUUGGUCAAUGGGCGCGAGCCUGCACCAGCCAAGUAGCGUGAAGGCUGACUGCCCUACGGGUUGUAAACUUCUUUUAUAAAGGAAUAAAGUGAGGCACGUGUGCCUUUUUGUCUGUACUUUAUGCGUCAGGAUCGGCUCACUCCGUGCCAGCAGCCGCGGUAAUACGGAGGAUCCGAGCGUUAUCCGGAUUUCUUGGGUUUAAAGGGAGCGUAGAUGGGUUGUUAAGUCAGUUGUGAAAGUUUGCGGCUCAACCGUAAAAUUGCAAUUGAUACUGGCAGCCUUGAGUACAGUCGAGGUAGGCGGAAUUCGUGGUGUAGCGGUGAAAUGCUUAGAUAUCACGAAGAACUCCGAUUGCGAAGGCAGCUUACUAAACUGCCACUGACAUUGAUGCUCGAAAGUGUGGGUAUCAAACAGGAUUAGAUACCCGAGUAGUC
rnacentral:rRNA from 1 species